UACGAAGGGGGCUAGCGUUGUUCGGAAUUAUUGGGCGUAAAGAGCUCGUAGGCGGUUUGUCGCGUCUGCCGUGAAAGUCCGGGGCUUAACUCCGGAUCUGCGGUGGGUACGGGCAGACUAGAGUGAUGUAGGGGAGACUGGAAUUCCUGGUGUAGCGGUGAAAUGCGCAGAUAUCAGGAGGAACACCGAUGGCGAAGGCAGGUCUCUGGGCAUUAACUGACGCUGAGGAGCGAAAGCAUGGGGAGCGAACAGG
rnacentral:rRNA from 1 species